GACGAACGCUGGCGGCGUGCUUAACACAUGCAAGUCGAACGGAAAGGCCCUGCUUUUGUGGGUUGCUCGAUUGGCGAACGGGUGAGUAACACGUGAGUAUACUGCCCUUGACUUUGGGAUAACUUCAGGAAAAUGGGGCUAAUAUCGGAUAGGAUCUCCUGCUGCAUGUUGUGGGUUGGAGAGUUUCGGCGGUUGUGGAUGUACUCGCGGCUUAUCAGCUUGUUGGUGUGGUAGUGGCUUACCAAGGCUUUGAAGGGUAGCCGGCCUGAGAGGGUGAACGGCGACAUUGGGACUGAGAUACGGCGCAGACGGCUACGGGAGGCAGCAGUGGGGAAUAUUGCAGAAUGGGCGGGAGCCUGAGGCAGCAACGCCGCGUGCGUGAUGACGGCCUUCGGGUUGUAAACCGAUUUCGCCUGUGACGAAGAGUGAGUGACGGUAAUGGGUAAAGAAGCAACGGCUAACUACGUG
rnacentral:rRNA from 1 species